rnacentral:lncRNA from 1 species
UACAAUAUCGAUGGGGUUUCUCUGUGUCUUCUUUGAUGCAUGGAUAUUGAUUCUGAUGUGUUUUCUGCUUCACCUCUGUUGUGAACCACGUUGCUUCUGCUACUGCUCGUGGAACUUUCCAGAGGAGCAUCGUUAUGGCUUCCAAAUACAUUUGAUCUAGGAAUAAUAAUUUUGAUUUAGUUAGCCCCAUAAUCAUCACACAAGGCUAGGGGAAGCGUUUAUGAGG